rnacentral:rRNA from 1 species
UUUUUAUUGAGAGUUUGAUCCUGGCUCAGGACGAACGCUGGCGGCGUGCCUAACACAUGCAAGUCGAGCGAUGAAGUUUCCUUCGGGAAACGGAUUAGCGGCGGACGGGUGAGUAACACGUGGGUAACCUACCUCAUAGAGGGGAAUAGCCU